GGGGCAGUGGCGGCAGCUAUAAUGCAGUCGAGCGAUGGAUUAAGAGCUUGCUCUUAUGAAGUUAGCGGCGGACGGGUGAGUAACACGUGGGUAACCUGCCCAUAAGACUGGGAUAACUCCGGGAAACCGGGGCUAAUACCGGAUAACAUUUUGAACCGCAUGGUUCGAAAUUGAAAGGCGGCUUCGGCUGUCACUUAUGGAUGGACCCGCGUCGCAUUAGCUAGUUGGUGAGGUAACGGCUCACCAAGGCAACGAUGCGUAGCCGACCUGAGAGGGUGAUCGGCCACACUGGGACUGAGA
rnacentral:rRNA from 1 species